rnacentral:ncRNA from 1 species
AUGAACACGAUGAUAGGGACAAGUAAGCUAGACGGAUGACCUUCAGAAAGCCGGUGGUUGAUGCGAACCGGUGGAGCCGAUGUGCCGAAUGGACCCUUGAGUGCCGAGUUGAACGGGAAUGGUAAGUUCCUUAAUAGGCAGGCCGUAUUUUCCACGUUACGGGAAUUAAGGUCGUAAGUGUAUUGUUGUUUCAUUAGAACAAUCAGCUUUUUUACGAUAAAUAAGGGUGGCACCACGGUCUCACGUCCCUUGC